rnacentral:rRNA from 1 species
GGCAGGCCAAAAACAUGCAGUCGAGGGGCACCACGAUAAAGCUUGCUUUAUUGGUGGCGACCGGCGAACGGGUGCGUAACGCGUAUGCAAUCUGCCUUGUACAGGAGGAUAGCCCGGAAAAAUUCGGAUUAAUACUCCAUAGCAUUAUUUGAUCGCAUGAUUGAAUACUUAAAACUUCGGUGGUACAAGAUGAGCAUGCGUCCUAUUAGCUAGUUGGUGAGGUAACUGCUCACCAAGGCAACGAUAGGUAGGGGGUCUGAAAGGAUUAUCCCCCACACUGGUACUGAAACACGGACCAAACUCCUACGGGAGGCAGCAGUGAGGAAUAUUGGUCAAUGGACAAAAGUCUGAACCAGCCAUGCCGCGUGCAGGAAGAAUGCCCUAUGGGUUGUAAACUGCUUUUAUUUGGGAAGAAACCUCCUUACGUGUAGGGAGCUGACGGUACCAAACGAAUAAGCACCGGCUAACUCCGUGCCAGCAGUCGCGGUAAUACGGAGGGUGCAAGCGUUAUCCGGAAUCAUUGGGUUUAAAGGGUCCGCAGGCGGGCUUAUAAGUCAGUGGUGAAAUCUCUCGGCUCAACCGAGAAACUGCCACUGAUACUGUAAGUCUUGAAUUCGGUCGAA